rnacentral:rRNA from 1 species
UACAGAGGUCUCAAGCGUUGUUCGGAUUCAUUGGGCGUAAAGGGUGCGUAGGUGGCGCUGUAAGUCGGGUGUGAAAUUUCGGAGCUUAACCUCCGAAACUGCAUUCGAUACUGCGGUGCUUGAGGACUGGAGAGGAGACUGGAAUUCAUGGUGAGCAGUGAAAUGCGUAGAGAUGCGGAGGAACACCGAUGGCCGGAAGGCAGCCCCCUGGGCCAAUACUGACGCUCAGGCGACGAAAGCGUAGGGGAGCAAACAGG